AUGCCCGAUGGCGUCUUCAAGGUUAACGUAGCCAGUGUCUUAGCGGGCUUCAAGGAUUUGCCUCCUUCGGUACCAGUCGAUGACGACGAGACCCCUAAGAUGAUUGGCGCAUGCAAGAGCUGGUUCUUGCCUUGGCCGAAGUCUCUUCUUCGUCUCGAGGCACCCAGUAUCACGCCAACGCCACCUUCUCAAGAAGGUAUGAACACCACCACACCUACCAAAUUACAUGCACCUGUCGUGGAGGGUGAUAGCGUACGACGCGAGGGAGAGCCUCCAUUAGUGCUAGAUCAUGUUGCCACCACCGUCGAAGAAGAAAAUGUUGAUGAUGACAUGGAGGAUGUUGAUGAUGACCCAGAAAAAUAUUUCAAUACCACCUAUGAUGAUGGAGGAUUGAUGGCUCAGGACGAUGAAGACUCAGGCUAUGAGCGUGGAGAUGAUGACUCAAUGUUUCUUGAUUUGUCAGAGCUGGAAUGUCCUAAGGUGAAAUGCAAAAAGUCUCUCUUCAAGCGAUCCUCGCAGGAGACGCCUCCAGAUGCCGCCUGUACCCAGCAACCCCCCGAGGGCCGUCCACUGAUUAGCCCGACGACACUGGGGGUGGUGGUGAUGGAAGGUAGGGUGGGCUCACUACCUCCACCCACCAAGAAGCAAAUGAGGAAACUGGACGAGAAAGGCCCUAAAGGCGCAGAGCUUCUUCAAGCAGCCAGCUGCCUUUGA
rnacentral:rRNA from 1 species